GAUGAACGCUAGCGGCAGGCCUAAUACAUGCAAGUCGAACGGUGUUUUUGGACAUAGUGGCGCACGGGUGCGUAACACGUAUGCAACCUACCUUACAUUGGGGGAUAGCCUUUCGAAAGGGAGAUUAAUACCGCAUAAGACAGUAGUUUGGCAUCAGACAGCUGUUAAAGAUUUAUCGAUGUAAGCUGGGCAUGCGUCCAAUUAGUUAGUUGGCGAGGUAAUGGCUCACCAAGACGAUGAUUGGUAGGGGAACUGAGAGGUCAAUCCCCCACACUGGCACUGAGAUACGGGCCAGACUCCUACGGGAGGCAGCAGUAGGGAAUAUUGGGCAAUGGACGCAAGUUUGACCCAGCCAUGCCGCGUGCAGGAAGAAGGCGUUAUGCGUUGUAAACUGCUUUUAUACAGGAAGAAACGACUCUUGCGAGAGGCAUUGACGGUACUGUAUGAAUAAGCACCGGCUAACUCCGUG
rnacentral:rRNA from 1 species